GACGAACGCUGGCGGCGUGCUUAACACAUGCAAGUCGAACGGUAAGGCCCUUCGGGGUACACGAGUGGCGAACGGGUGAGUAACACGUGGGUGAUCUGCCCUGCACUUCGGGAUAAGCCUGGGAAACUGGGUCUAAUAUCGGAUAGGACCACUGCCUGCAUGGGUGGUGGUGGAAAGCUUUUGCGGUGUGGGAUGGGCCCGCGGCCUAUCAGCUUGUUGGUGGGGUGAUGGCCUACCAAGGCGACGGCGGGUAGCCGGCCUGGGAGGGUGACCGGCCACACUGGGACUGAGAUACUGCCCAGACGCCUACGGGAGGCAGCAGUGGGGAAUAUUGCACAAUGGGCGCAAGCCUGAUGCAGCGACGCCGCGUGAGGGAUGACGGCCUUCGGGUUGUAAACCUCUUUCAGCACCGACGAAGCGCAAGUGACGGUAGGUGCAGAAGAAGGACCGGCCAACUACGUGCCAGCCGCCGCAGUAA
rnacentral:rRNA from 1 species